UGUAUUUGCCUACCCAUUUAACGGCCUAAAACAUGAUAGUAUCGAAUUCAACAAUAUUAAUGUCCAUUUCAAAUCAAACAACGAUUCAAUGAAUUAAACUAAUCAAAAUCCGCCAUUUAUAGAUUUUCCAUUCACGUCCCCGUGAUUAACCAAUUUCAAAUUAAAAUCUAUCAAUCAAACCACGAUGAUUAUGAAAACUCAAACACAUUCAAACACAUCACUGAAUCAUAUCAUCAAACACAUUAAGAUAAUAAAAAGAGUGGAGUUGAGAAUAUGAAUUUCAAAAACUAGUUGCUGAUAAUAAUGAGUUUAUGAGAG
rnacentral:lncRNA from 1 species